rnacentral:rRNA from 1 species
CACGUAGGGCGCAAGCGUUGUCCGGAAUUAUUGGGCGUAAAGAGCUCGUAGGUGGUUUGUUACGUCUGCUGUGAAAACCUAGGGCUUAACCCUGGGCUUGCAGUGGAUACGGGCAGACUAGAGGUAGGUAGGGGAGAAUGGAAUUCCUGGUGUAGCGGUGAAAUGCGUAGAUAUCGAGAGGAACACCUGCGGCGAAGGCGGGUUGCUGGGCUGACACGUGACGCUGAUGCGCGAAAGCCAGGGGAGCGAACGGG